GACGAGCGCUGGCGGCGUGCUUAACACAUGCAAGUCGAACGGAAAGGCCCCGCUUUUGUGGGGUGCUCGAGUGGCGAACGGGUGAGUAACACGUGAGUAACCUGCCCUUGACUUUGGGAUAACUUCAGGAAACUGGGGCUAAUACCGGAUAGGAGCUCCUGCUGCAUGGUGGGGGUUGGAAAGUUUCGGCGGUUGGGGAUGGACUCGCGGCUUAUCAGCUUGUUGGUGGGGUAGUGGCUUACCAAGGCUUUGACGGGUAGCCGGCCUGAGAGGGUGACCGGCCACAUUGGGACUGAGAUACGGCCCAGACUCCUACGGGAGGCAGCAGUGGGGAAUAUUGCACAAUGGGCGGAAGCCUGAUGCAGCAACGCCGCGUGCGGGAUGACGGCCUUCGGGUUGUAAACCGCUUUCGCCUGUGACGAAGCGUGAGUGACGGUAAUGGGUAAAGAAGCACCGGCUAACUACGUG
rnacentral:rRNA from 1 species